AGGCACGUAGCUCAGGGGUCUAGAGCACCGCCUUGACAUGGCGGGGGUCGGCGGUUCAAUUCCGCCCGUGCCUACCA
rnacentral:tRNA from 2 species